rnacentral:rRNA from 1 species
GUGAGGAAUUUUCCGCAAUGGGCGAAAGCCUGACGGAGCAAUGCCGCGUGAAGGAUGAAGGCCUAUGGGUUGUAAACUUCUUUUCUUAGAGAAGAAAAUUGACGGUAUCUGAGGAAUAAGCAUCGGCUAACUCUGUGCCAGCAGCCGCGGUAAGAAAGAGGAUGCAAGCGUUACCCGGAAUGUUUGGGCGUAAAGCGUCUGUAGGUGGCUUCAAAAGUCUCCUGUCAAAGAUCAGGGCUUAAACCUGGGCCGGCAGGAGAAACUCUGAGGGUAGAGUUUGGUAGGGGCAGAGGGAAUUCCCGGUGGAGCGGUGAAAUGCGUAGAGAUCGGGAGGAACACCAAAGGCGAAAGCACUCUGCUGGGCCACAUCUGACACUGAGAGACGAAAGCGAGGGGAGCAAAAGGGAUUAGAUACCCGGGUAGUCC